AGCGGAAUUCGUGAGACCAAAUGACCCUACUGUGUCAUCAUUUUCAGUUCUUUAGUAAGUUGCUUUAUCCUGAUGGAUUUUCAAAUGUUUAAUGAAUGCUACACUCUUAAGGGGACAAAAACCAAUGGAUUAUGCUAUGUCAUACAUUGUAUGUAUUGGUGUAGGCUGCCACAGAUCAGCUGAUUCAUUCUCAGCCUUAACUGUUUCUCCUCUGAUCCAGACAAUUACUCCAAUGAGGGAAGUGGAAACCUACUUCAGUUCUCCCACCCACCAAGGGCAGGUCCAGACCUAUUAACACUCCUGUUUUUCCCCCUAGUUCCUUCAUCCUACCAAGUUUUGUGGUUCUAUACAUUCUUUUCCACUGGUCAGGUACUCCUGUCAGCUCUCAGCUGGUGUUCUGCAAGCACUUCUGUGUCUGAAGAUGUAUUCCUGAUGUGUCCAAGGAGAGAGGUGUAUUCCUCCUGCAACUACCACUCUGCCAUCUUGUUCAUCUCAACUUUUUGACUAUUAGAAAUAAGACUGCUAUGAACAUUCAUGUGCACGUCUUUGGGGAAACAUUUUUUUUUUUUUU
rnacentral:sRNA from 1 species